rnacentral:tRNA from 2 species
GGGUCCGUAGCUCAGAUGGGAGAGCGCCUGCUUUGCACGCAGGAGGUCAGCGGUUCGAUCCCGCUCGGAUCCACCA